rnacentral:rRNA from 1 species
GACGGAGGAUGCAAGCGUUAUCCGGAAUGAUUGGGCGUAAAGCGUCCGCAGGUGGCAGUUCAAGUCUGCUGUCAAAGACCGGGGCUUAACUUCGGAAAGGCAGUGGAAACUGAACAGCUAGAGUAUGGUAGGGGCAGAGGGAAUUCCUGGUGUAGCGGUGAAAUGCGUAGAGAUCAGGAAGAACAUCGGCGGUGUAGACGGCUUACUGGACCAUGACUGACGCUGAGGCACGAAAGCGUGGGGAGCAAACAGG